rnacentral:lncRNA from 1 species
GGAGGUGAUGGUGGUGGUCACGUGGCGCGGCUCUCGCGAAGCUGCGGGGUAAAGGUGGCACACACAGACACAGGGAACUUAGAGCGCGACACUUCAUACACCUCCACAGACCUCUCUCCAACCGAGUUCAACACACAAAUCAUGUCUAUUAGCCGGAAAAACUGGUCUGCUUUAUCAACGCUGGCUCGACAGUGGACUGUUGAGGAUGAGGAAGAGGUGGAGAGAGAGAAGAGGAGGAAGACAAGGGAGUCUACGGCAGACAUGGAUGAAAGUCCCACUGAAGAGACCAAACCACAAACCAGUAGUGUUAGCGGGCCUGCUGAUGCUGGCGACUCCGGUGGCGGUCUGGCCCAGCUGCAGAUGGACUUUGUGGAGAUGUUGCAAGUCCGUGAUGAACGGAGGAGGAUGAGGCACGUUGAAACCCUGAGGAAGAAUAAGGAGGAAGAUGAUGGGGGCAAAGAGACCAACCCGGAUGCGGAGCCCCAUGUGGAGCUGCUGGGGGACCAGCAGGACGAGGAACUCUUCAAGAACAUUCAGCGCUGCGUGGAGACCUUCAUGUCAGCAGAACCUCCCACCAACUCCAGAGACUCAGAGACACAGGAGAAGCAAGAAAAUGGAGGCACGAACCAAGAUUCAACAUCAACAAACUCCCAACCCCCCUCAAAAGCAUCCAGAAAGUUUGUGAGCUCUCUCUCCAUCUCCUUUGAUAAGAGUCCCACAUCACCCUCAGCAACCAGCAGACUGGUUUCUCCUCUAAGCCCCAAGUCUCCGCCCCCUCAGUCCCCGAGGGCGGAGUCACCACGCAGCCCCACCCACUCCGGCUCUAUGAGCCCCACACCGAAUGGAGACGCAGCGGUGAGACUGCCACGAUUCA